GAUGAACGCUGGCGGCGUGCCUAAUACAUGCAAGUCGAGCGAACAGAUGAGGAGCUUGCUCCUCUGACGUUAGCGGCGGACGGGUGAGUAACACGUGGAUAACCUACCUAUAAGACUGGGAUAACUUCGGGAAACCGGAGCUAAUACCGGAUAAUAUAUUGAACCGCAUGGUUCAAUAGUGAAAGACGGUUUUGCUGUCACUUAUAGAUGGAUCCGCGCCGCAUUAGCUAGUUGGUAAGGUAACGGCUUACCAAGGCAACGAUGCGUAGCCGACCUGAGAGGGUGAUCGGCCACACUGGAACUGAGACACGGUCCAGACUCCUACGGGAGGCAGCAGUAGGGAAUCUUCCGCAAUGGGCGAAAGCCUGACAGAGCAACGCCGCGUGAGUGAUGAAGGUCUUCGGAUCGUAAAACUCUGUUAUUAGGGAAGAACAAAUGCGUAAGUAACUAUGCACGUCUUGACGGUACCUAAUCAGAAAGCCACGGCUAACUACGUG
rnacentral:rRNA from 1 species